AACGAACGCUGGCGGCAGGCUUAACACAUGCAAGUCGAACGGGUGCAGCAAUGCAUCAGUGGCAGACGGGUGAGUAACACGUGGGAACCUUCCUAGGGGUACGGAACAACUCAGGGAAACUUGAGCUAAUACCGUAUACGUCCGUAAGGAGAAAGAUUCAUCGCCCCUAGACGGGCCCGCGUCGGAUUAGGUAGUUGGUGGGGUAACGGCCUACCAAGCCUACGAUCCGUAGCUGAU
rnacentral:rRNA from 1 species